UACGUAGGUGGCAAGCGUUGUUCGGAAUUACUGGGCGUAAAGCGCGCGUAGGCGGCUCUUCAAGUCAGGCGUGAAAGCCCCGAGCUUAACUCGGGAACUGCGCUUGAUACUGUCGAGCUAGAGUGUGGAAGGGGCGAUUGGAAUUCCGUGUGUAGCGGUGAAAUGCGUAGAUAUACGGAGGAACACCAGAGGCGAAGGCGGAUCGCUGGGCCAACACUGACGCUGAGUGAGCGAAAGCCAGGGGAGCAAACGGG
rnacentral:rRNA from 1 species